UACGGAGGGGGCUAGCGUUGUUCGGAAUUACUGGGCGUAAAGCGCACGUAGGCGGCUUUGUAAGUCAGAGGUGAAAUCCCGGGGCUCAACUCCGGAACUGCCUUUGAGACUGCAUCGCUUGAAUCCGGGAGAGGUGAGUGGAAUUCCGAGUGUAGAGGUGAAAUUCGUAGAUAUUCGGAAGAACACCAGUGGCGAAGGCGGCUCACUGGACCGGUAUUGACGCUGAGGUGCGAAAGCGUGGGGAGCAAACAGG
rnacentral:rRNA from 1 species